rnacentral:misc_RNA from 1 species
UCCUGGUUUCCCAGGCAGUCCCAUCAGAGUGCCCCGUAAAGGUAGCAACUGACAGUAAGGGUUGCGCUCGUUAAAGGACUAAACCCAACAUCUCACGACACGAGCUGACGACAGCCAUGCAACACCUGUGUACAUGUCCAAACAAAAGCUUGGAAAAUUGUAUUUCUACAACUGUCAUGCACAUGUCAAACCCAGGUAAGGUUCCUCGCGUAGUAUCGAAUUAAACCACAUGUUCCACCGCUUGUGCGGACCCCCGUCAAUUUCUUUAAGUUUUAGUCUUGCGACCGUAAUCCCCAGGCGAACCACUUAACGCGUUAGCUUGGACACUAAUUCAGCAAGCUGAACUAACGUCUAGUGGUCAUCGUUUACAGCGUGGACUAC